GUAACUUAACUUUUGUAUAAUUUCAAAUAUAUGAUAUAUUUUCUGAUAAUAUGUUUUAGGAUACAAAUGGGAAGAAUACAAUAUUGAAGAAUAUUGUCAAUGUAAACAAUGUGGUAAAGCCUUUGUACAACAGAUUCAUCUUCAAGUUCAUGGAAGAAUCCAUACUGGAGAGAAACCCUAUGAAUGUAAUCAGUGUGGUAGAGCCUUUGCAUAUAGCAGUAGUCUUAAAAAACAUGAAAUAGUCCAUACUGGAGAGAAACCCUAUGAAUGUAAUCAAUGUGGUAAAGCCUUUGCAUAUCCCAGAUAUCUUCAGAAACAUGAAAGAACACAUACUGGAGAGAAACCCUAUGAAUGUAAUCAAUGUGGUAAAGCCUUUGCACAUCACAGUUAUCUCCAGAAACAUGAAAGAAUUCAUACUGGAGAGAAACCCUAUGAAUGUAAUCAAUGUGGUAAAGCCUUUGCACAUCACAGUAACUUCCAAAACCAUGAAAGAACACACACUGGAGAGAAACCCUAUGAAUGUAAUCAAUGUGGUAAAGCUUUUUCAAAGCAGACUCUUCUCCAACUACAUAAAAGAACACAUACUGGAGAGAAACCGUAUGUGUGUAAUCAAUGUGGUAAAGCCUUUGCAUAUCACAGUCAUCUUAAAGUUCAUGGAAGAGCUCAUACUGGAGAGAAACCCUAUGAAUGUAAUCAGUGCGGCAGAGCCUUUGCAUA
rnacentral:lncRNA from 1 species